GUCGAGAAUCUUUCACAAUGGGGGCAACCCUGAUGGAGCGACGCCGCGUGGAGGAUAAGGUCUUCGGAUCGUAAACUCCUGUCAUGCGUGAACAAGGUUGCUUGGUUAAUACCUGGGCAAAUUGAUGGUAACGCAAGAGGAAGAGACGGCUAACUCUGUGCCAGCAGCCGCGGUAAUACAGAGGUCUCAAGCGUUGUUCGGAAUCACUGGGCGUAAAGGGUGCGUAGGUGGCGUGGUAAGUCAGAUGUGAAAGCCCGGGGCUCAACCUCGGAACUGCAUCCGAUACUGCCAUGCUAGAGUACUGGAGAGGUGACUAGAAUUCUCGGUGUAGCAGUGAAAUGCGUAGAUAUCGAGAGGAAUACCAAAGGCGUAGGCAGGUCACUGGACAGUUACUGACACUGAGGCACGAAGGCCAGGGGAGCGAACGGGAUUAGAUACCCUUGUAGUCC
rnacentral:rRNA from 1 species